rnacentral:rRNA from 1 species
AAGCGGUGGAUGAUGUGGUUUAAUUCGAUGCAACGCGAAAAACCUUACCCACCUUUGACAUGUACGGAAGAUCGCAGAGACGCGAUUGUGCUCGAAAGAGAACCGUAACACAGGUGCUGCAUGGCUGUCGUCAGCUCGUGUCGUGAGAUGUUGGGUUAAGUCCCGCAACGAGCGCAACCCUUGCCAUUAGUUGCUACAUUCAGUUGGGCACUCUAAUGGGACUGCCGGUGACAAACCGGAGGAAGGUGGGGAUGACGUCAAGUCCUCAUGGCCCUUAUAGGUGGGGCUACACACGUCAUACAAUGGCUGGUACAAAGGGUUGCCAACCCGCGAGGGGGAGCUAAUCCCAUAAAGCCAGUCGUAGUCCGGAUCGUAGUCCGCAACUCGACUACGUGAAGUCGGAAUCGCUAGUAAUCGUGGAUCAGAAUGUCACGGUGAAUACGUUCCCGGGUCUU